AGAAGUUAACUUUCAAUCUACAGUGACACAGAAUAAAUAUUCCUAUUAAAACAGGGAAGAAUGGAGACAGCAUGGAAAGACCAAAAGACUGAAUCCCAAGGGCAAAUACCACUCUCAGCAGUUCCAUGUCUGGCAUCUGAGAUGUGUGGGCCUCCCUGGACUUUGGGUGGCCCCACUCUACAGCUUUGCUCUUUGCAGCACACAUGGCCUUAUAGCUUCCUUUUAUAGACAUCCUGUAUCCCUGACAUUUCCAGCAUGCUGGAGUCCUCAUUGCAAUGUAGGGUUUACCUUAGCUUAAUGUAGUGGCCUCACAGAUUCUUCUUGCAGUGAAUCUGACUCUGCCACAUGUUGCCUGACCUCUUCUGAAACACUGGCGUAAGUCUGCAUGACCUUGUAUUUUACAUGCCUGCAAAAUUGGAACCAUAUGGAUUUUGCCACCAAGUAGUACUGCUUGUCUGAGGAAUAGUCAAAGACCGCUUAGACCAAGACUGCAGUGGACACAUGUCUUCAUGGCUUAGCUCAGGCAGUAUGUUUCUUUAGGCAGCCAGUUUCGAGCAGAGAACUCUUAACAGAGGCUUUCUUGUUUAGGCACUCUGCUUCAAAUGAAAGUUUUUCAAACAGAUUUUCAGUUUUACAACGUGGAGCCUUUGAUGGAUGGGAUCUUGCCAUUAAGGCACCAUGGGUGUGAAGGUAUCUUCAGAAACCAGAAGAGAAGGAUGUAUUUCUUGAAACUAGAGUUACAGGUAGUUGUGAGCUGUCCAAUAUGUGUGCUAGGAAUCAAACUCUUAUCCUCUUGAAGAUUGGCAAACACUUGAACCAUGAGCCAACUCUUAAGGACAAAAACCAUUUUUACGGUUUCAAUUCAAUAUGCAAUUUCUUCUUUAUUACCCUAAUCUCCUUAACAUUUAUAGCAUCUUUGUCAUAUCUGUCACUUUUAAGUUUAACAUUACUUUCUUCACCAAAUAACACUUUCUCCCAUUAUUUCUGUUCAGAAUUCUUGCUGAAGCCAGGUUAAAGGCAAUAAACACCAUUCAUGCAAUAGUCUGGAAGUUAGGGUGUCUUGAAAUUUCCUUCUCCAAACAAAUUAGUUCUCUACUUUUUAAUUCAAUUCAGCAUCUGUAAAGUUUCCAGAACAUAGGCAGAAUGUAGUCUUUUUUUUUUUUUUUUUCUUGUGCCAGAAUGUAACUUGAAUAGCCAUUUGGCCUAGUUCCUAUAGAACCUUAAUUCCCCUAAGGAACUUUAUGAACACAGUGUUUAUUGUUGAUAUUUCUGCUGGCAUUCUAAUUUCUAAUUUCCUAGGCUCCUAACAGAAUAGCUGAUUGCUCUGUAGCAUCUAUUUCUAAAUUCUCUUAAAUUCCUCCUACAGGACCAUUUCCAGCAGUCUGUCUAUAUCACAUGCGUUGUUAGAGUAACCGUGAUCAAGUACCUCAAAGAAGUAGCUUAAGAAGGCAGAAUUUAUUUUGAUUCAUGGAUUGAGGGGAUAGAAUCCGUCAUGGUAGGGAAGGCGUGAUAGCAGAAACACGAGAGGUAGCUGCUCAUGCAUGACAAGCCUGUAAUCAGAAAGCAAAUUGCAUGUUACUUUAUGAGUAAAGAAAUAGAAUUCACUGGUUAUAAGCCUCAUUUGGCUGACUCCAGCAAAACUAUAAUUUCCUGGAAGAAUGAGGUAGUUUAUGGCUGAGGAUAUGGACAUUGUUGAUUCUGUGUCCAAAUUCUUUGAGAAUUUAAUGGCACCUUGUUGCUUAGGUCUCAAGGUGAUCUGCUUUGUAUGGUAUUUGCCAGGAGACAAGAUAGGAGAGAGUAAGGCUAUUUAGAUUUCCUACAUUUAAUACACUAAAGAGAGGAUAUAACUCUACACCGACACAUACCCACCACCACCAAAACCAAAACCAAAACCUGGGUGCAAUUUGGAUAGAAGAUGGAUUACUAGUAGCCAAGCUACAUCACAAUUUACAUGAAUCAACCAAGAGACAUUUGAUACAACACUGUCAGCUUUCUAGCUAAUCACUGUUUAUUGUUUAAAAAGAAUUAGGUAGAUGCAGUGGUGUGUGCUUGCGAUCUUAGCACUUGGGAGGAAGCUGAUGUAGGAAGAAUUUGAUUCAAGACCAGCCUGAACUAUGUAGUAAGAGCUUGUCUCAAAAACAGAUUAAGUAAAAGAAUCAAAUUUUUAUUUUAAGAUUAAGUUGGGGGCUGGAGAGAUGGCUCAGGAGUAAGAGCACUGGCUGCUCUUCCAGAGGAUCCAAAUUCAAUUCCUAGCACCCACAUGGCAGCUUAGACUCUUUUGUAACUAGUUCUAGGUGAUCCAGUUCCCUCUUCUGCCCCCCACGGGCACUGUCUGCAGUUGUACACAGUCAUAUAUUCAGGCAGGCAUAACAU
rnacentral:lncRNA from 1 species